GUGUCAGCAGCCGCGGUAACACGUAGGGGGCAAGCGUUGUCCGGAUUUAUUGGGCGUAAAGAGCUCGUAGGCGGUUUCGUAAGUCGGGUGUGAAAACUCUAGGCUCAACCUGGAGACGCCACCCGAUACUGCGAUGACUAGAGUCCGGUAGGGGAGUGUGGAAUUCCUGGUGUAGCGGUGAAAUGCGCAGAUAUCAGGAGGAACACCAACGGCGAAGGCAGCACUCUGGGCCGGAACUGACGCUGAGGAGCGAAAGCGUGGGUAGCGAACAGGAUUAGAUACCCUGGUAGUCC
rnacentral:rRNA from 1 species